rnacentral:rRNA from 1 species
ACUGUCUGUAUACAAAAGAGUAACAAAAGAUAC